GACGAACGCUGGCGGCGUGCCUAAUACAUGCAAGUCGAGCGCAGGAAGCUGACGGAACUCUUCGGAGGGAAGGCAGUGGAAUGAGCGGCGGACGGGUGAGUAACACGUAAGGAACCUGCCUCAAGGAUUGGGAUAACUCCGAGAAAUCGGAGCUAAUACCGGAUAGUUCAACGGACCGCAUGGUCCGCUGAUGAAAGGCGCUCCGGCGUCACCUUGAGAUGGCCUUGCGGUGCAUUAGCUAGUUGGUGGGGUAACGGCCCACCAGGGCGACGAUGGAUAGCCGACCUGAGAGGGGGAUCGGCCACACUGGGACUGAGACACGGCCCAGACUCCUACGGGAGGCAGCAGUAGGGAAUCUUCCACAAUGGACGAAAGUCUGAUGGAGCAACGCCGCGUGAGUGAUGAAGGUUUUCGGAUCGUAAAACUCUGUUGUAAGGGAAGAACACGUACGAGAGGGAAUGCUCGUACCUUGACGGUACCUUACGAGAAAGCCACGGCUAACUACGUGCCAGCAGCCGCGGUAA
rnacentral:rRNA from 1 species